GACGAACGCUGGCGGCGUGCUUAACACAUGCAAGUCGAACGAUGAAGCUAGAGCUUGCUCUGGUGGAUUAGUGGCGAACGGGUGAGUAACACGUGAGUAACCUGCCCCGAACUCUGGGAUAACUGCUGGAAACGGUAGCUAAUACCGGAUAUGACCAAUGAAGGCAUCUUCUGUUGGUGGAAAGAAUUUCGGUUCGGGAUGGACUCGCGGCCUAUCAGCUUGUUGGUGAGGUAACGGCGAACCAAGUCGACGACGGGUAGCCGGCCUGAGAGGGUGAUCGGCCACACUGGGACUGAGACACGGCCCAGACUCCUACGGGAGGCAGCAGUGGGGAAUAUUGCACAAUGGGCGCAAGCCUGAUGCAGCAACGCCGCGUGAGGGACGACGGCCUUCGGGUUGUAAACCUCUUUUAGUAGGGAAGAAGCGAAAGUGACGGUACCUGCAGAAAAAGCACCGGCUAACUACGUGCCAGCAGCCGCGGUAA
rnacentral:rRNA from 1 species